rnacentral:rRNA from 1 species
UACGUAGGGUGCAAGCGUUGUCCGGAAUUAUUGGGCGUAAAGAGCUCGUAGGCGGUUCGUCGCGUCGGCUGUGAAAUCCCGAGGCUCAACCUCGGGUCUGCAGUCGAUACGGGCGGACUGGAGUUCGGGCAGGGGAGACUGGAAUUCCUGGUGUAGCGGUGAAAUGCGCAGAUAUCAGGAGGAACACCGGUGGCGAAGGCGGGUCUCUGGGCCGAUGACUGACGCUGAGGAGCGAAAGCGUGGGGAGCGAACAGG